GGGGAAUAUUGCACAAUGGGGGAAACCCUGAUGCAGCGACGCCGCGUGAGUGAAGAAGUAUUUCGGUAUGUAAAGCUCUAUCAGCAGGGAAGAAAAUGACGGUACCUGACUAAGAAGCCCCGGCUAACUACGUGCCAGCAGCCGCGGUAAUACGUAGGGGGCAAGCGUUAUCCGGAUUUACUGGGUGUAAAGGGAGCGUAGGUGGCAAAUCAAGUCAGAUGUGAAAGCCCGGGGCUCAACCCCGGGACUGCAUUUGAAACUGAUAUGCUAGAGUGCAGGAGAGGUAAGUGGAAUUCCUAGUGUAGCGGUGAAAUGCGUAGAUAUUAGGAGGAACACCAGUGGCGAAGGCGGCUUACUGGACUGUAACUGACACUGAGGCUCGAAAGCGUGGGGAGCAAAC
rnacentral:rRNA from 1 species